GGGCAGCAGUAGGGAAUUUCCCAAUGGACGAAAGUCUGACGGAGCAACGCCGCGUGAGUGAUGAAGGUUUUCGGAUCGUAAAGCUCUGUUGUUAGGGAAGAACAAGUGCCGUUCAAAUAGGGCGGCACCUUGACGGUACCUAACCAGAAAGCCACGGCUAACUACGUGCCAGCAGCCGCGGUAAUACGUAGGUGGCAAGCGUUGUCCGGAAUUAUUGGGCGUAAAGGGCUCGCAGGCGGUUUCUUAAGUCUGAUGUGAAAGCCCCCGGCUCAACCGGGGAGGGUCAUUGGAAACUGGGGAACUUGAGUGCAGAAGAGGAGAGUGGAAUUCCACGUGUAGCGGUGAAAUGCGUAGAGAUGUGGAGGAACACCAGUGGCGAAGGCGACUCUCUGGUCUGUAACUGACGCUGAGGAGCGAAAGCGUGGGGAGCGAACAGGAUUAGAUACCCUGGGUAGUCC
rnacentral:rRNA from 1 species